GCAUUGUUGGUUUAGUGGUAAAAUCUGCCGUUGCCAGUCUUCCUUAACAGGUCUACUUUCAAUGUCGGCAGGCCCCGUGUUCGAUUCACGGACAAUGCA